rnacentral:rRNA from 1 species
AGGGUGUAAACGCUGCGGACUUGGUGUUGGAGGCCCUUUGGGGGCAUUCAGUGCCGGAGAGAAGUUGUUAAGUCUGCUACUUGGGAGUACGUCCGCAAGGAUGAAACUUAAAGGAAUUGGCGGGGGAGGCACCGCAACGGGAGGAGCGUGCGGUUUAAUUGGAUUCAACACCGUAAAACUCACCAGGGAAGACUGUUACAUGAAGGCCGAGAUGAAGACUCUGCUAGAUUUUCAGAGAGGAGGUGCAUGGCGUCAGUGACU